GAACAAUUAUUAUUUCAAGUGCGUUCUAUGUUCAAAAAACUUUUCGAAGUGUCGAGUCGUCCGCUAAACGGAUGAAUAAAAUAAAUUAGUCGUCCGAUUACCGGAUGACUACCGGAGUACUACACAGAAAAAGGAGCCUCGCUUCGCGGGGCUCCGUCGACGCUCAAAAAAAAAUCAAGUUUAGGUUAGGUUAGCCGUUAGGUUAGGUUUGGUUUCUUAAAAAAAAAACUACACAGAAAUAGGAGCCCCGCGAAGCGGGGCUCCGUCGACGCGCAAAAAAAAUAAUCAAAUACCUACGUGUGCCCUCCUCCCCCCACAAAGAACCUGUAAUACGUAGGUACGGCAGUUCUUAUUCAUCCGUUUAGCGAACGACUAGCACUGUCCAAAACUUUUAGCGAGCUUUGCUGCAGCCUACGUAAUGAAAAAAAAAAUACCAAUCCCUCAAACACGCCAAAUAAGAGCAAGAAUUCGACAAGAGGUGUUUUUAUAAAUUUAUUUACUUUCAAUGUUUUGAACAAUUUUAAUAAAUAACUUAAUCCUUUGCAUUGAAGAAGGUCACUGCCUGUCGCUGCUAUUGUAGUCACAAACAAUUCUAUUACACCACAUUGAUUAGGUAUUCAACAAUUAAGUAUACUCCAUAUUAUGUAUUAAAAAGACAUUUAAAUACAAAAUGUUUGUUUCUGUUCAAUUCUAAAUGUUUUAAAGAUUUACAAAGUAUUAUGAAACAAAACCAUUUGAAAGUCUUGACAAUUGUAUUAGGUAUAUUUUUUAAUAUAAUUGUCAUUGAUUAUAAAAUGUGAAUAUAAUUACAGAUUUCAAAGGAAACUUCAAUUGUCAGUGGCUUGGCCAUAGGAUGCAUAGAUUGCACUGACAUAUCUAUUGUAAAACCCCACAUAGAUGAACAGAAUUAUUUUAACAGGAAAGGAUACCAUUCCUUAAAUGUGCAAAUGAUAUUAUGUGAUGGUAGUUUAAAGAUUAUUAAUGUCAAUGCGAAAUAUGGAGGAGCCAUGCAUGAUUCCUUCAUAUAGUCAUUGUGGGAACCAUACAUGUGUGGACUUCACAAAAAUGGUGAAUUGACAUUGUGUUCUGCACAAUAUUGCACUGGAUGUUCAAUUACCUCUCCCUAGUAAUAUGGCUGAGCAACAAGAGGAUGGUGAUGAACCGAGUGUGGCGGUUGGACCCAUUUCCAGCAACCAAGACGAGCUAAUGAGUGGCAGAAUAAUGCUUAAUAAUUUAGUUAGGUAAUAGAUUAUUUUAAUAGGUUAUUUUUGUUUGUCUCUAUGGUAAUGGCGUGUAGUAUGUAGCAUGAACUAGUGGUUCCCUGGUCCGACUAACUGGAACAGCACCUGGCACUAGCAGCACUGCACACUCCCGAUUCACUGGAGCAUUAUUUUAUUGACAAAUAAGUUUGGUAAUUAACCAUUGUUUAAUGUUUUAAAACAAAAGUAUGUAAUUUUGGUUAUAAAGACUGAAGUAGUCAUUUAGUUAAUUGUUAAAUUAAGUAUAUUAUUGUAAAAGCUAGAAGAGUGAAUUACUUACUAAAUAAAGACUAAUUAAAAUUAA